GCCCAAGUGGCGGAAUUGGCAGACGCGCUAGCUUCAGGAGCUAGUGCCGGCAACGGCGUGGAGGUUCGAGUCCUCUCUUGGGCACCA
rnacentral:tRNA from 1 species